CCGUCCCCCGCCGUCCCCCUCCGUCCCCCUCCGCACGCGGGUCUUCCCGGCCUCGGCCUCGGCCUGGCGGGGGGGGCUGUGCGUCCCAGAGGCCUCGACCCCGGAACCGGCCGUCUCACCCCCCAAUUCCGCCUCGUCCCCCGCGCCUCCCUGUGCUCGCCCAAGACCCGAGGGGGCUGCUCCCGCAGCAGCACCGGGGCAGCGCCCGGCUCCGGGGCGGGGACCCCGGCUCGCCCCCCGCCUCCCCCGCUGCUCCGACGCGGCCCCCCUGGCCGGGUGGCCCGACGGUACGGGUCGGGCGGUGCCGGGGGCGGCCGGUCGCUGACGCCCCGACACCCAGACAGCGCUGCCCGGGCCCCACCUGGGAUCCGCCCGUGGCCGGCGUCCGCCCCCCGGAGCCCGGCCCCCGCGAGGCCCGAGCGGCCGCGUCGCUGGAAGUCGGCGAAGUCUAAGCCGGGAGUUCGGUGCCUCAAGGCACGUAGGAAGCGUGCGAGAGGGCAGAGGAGUGCGCAGCUGAGGGCCUGCGGGCAGCAGGGGAGCUUCAAAGAGCCCGGGAUAUUUGAUUUGCACCUGAGAGACUUCAAAUAUUACCCUGUGGCAUGCACUUGUGUUUUUAAUGCAUUCAGAACUGGAAAGUUCUUAUGCCCCAGCCAUUCUCCUUCAAGGUCUGACCAGUGGCCACCAGUUACCUGGGAGCUUUUUAAAAAUGGAGGUCCCUGGCCUCUGGCCCAUACGCACUAAAUCAGAACUGUUGGGGGGUGAUUCUAUGAAUCUAGAUCUUUAACAGGUUCCUCAGGGAUUCUUAUGCUCUGAAGUUUGGAUAUUUCUGCCCCGAACUCACCAGUCCAAUUAUGGGUACAGUCAUGUUUAAGGUCCCAGAUAUUGAGGAUGAAGACCUAAGAAAGAUUAAUAGGAAAUGUGAUACAUUUUAACCCCAGAAAGAUGGACGUUCUGAGGACAGGGAUGAACAGAGGGCUGAUUAUUAAGUAGCUAACUAUAUUCACUCUAAAGAUGUAAAUGAAAAUCCUUGUAUUCCUGAGGCCAUACUUAAUAAACAGAGACAGGAGAAAGAAAUUCCCAACCCAGGAUCUUUCUGGGAUGCAGUACUGACCACCCCCAGCAUUUACGUCUUAUCAGUCACCUAUUGCCACAAUCAUGCUGUAUAACACACAGCCACAGAAUCUCUAUAGUGCUCAAUAAGAGAUCAUGAGUUUUGGGGCACCCAGGUGGCUUGGUUGGUCAAACAUCUGACUUCGGCUUGGAUCAUGAUCUUGGGGUCCUGGGAUCAAGCCCUGUGUGGGACUUCAUACUCAGCGAGGAGUCUGCUUAUCCCUCUCCCCCUUCCCCUUCCCCUUCCCCUGCUCAUGCACACCCCCCCCCCCAAUAAUUUUUUUUUUAAUUAAAAAAAAAAAGGAAUGAAUGAGUUUUGCUCGUGCAUCUGGGUUGUCUGGGAGAGUCUUCUGAUCUAAACUGGGCUCAGUGAGUCAACAGUCAGCUGUAGGUAAGCUAAUGACUUACUGAUCUUGGGUGGGUUUCUCCACCCAGGGCCUUGGCCAGAGCGAUUGAAACAACUUGGCUUGCUGCAGGCCUCUCAUUCUCUGCCAGGCUGGGCCCAAACAUGGCAGGACCCUGAGACAGAGCAGAGGCAAGCAAGAUCUCUUAGAACCCAGGUCUGCAGUUUGUACCAUGUCACUUCUGCCACAAUUGGCUAAGUCAAGCCACCAGAUGAACCCAGAUUCAAGAGAAAUAGACUCUGCAAACAAGUCUAGACUGCCUAGCUAGAAGGCAUAAAGUUCUAACAGCUGUCAGAUUGGGCCUGGGUAUCAGCAGAGCCUUGCAUGGGAAGGGAAGGCCUCGCAUGGCCACGGUGCACUCCCAGGAUCUUAUACUUUACCCACGAAAGCCUGGUGUACACCCCCAGUGGGGAUGUGCCAAAGUACUCUGGAGAUUAUUCCAGAUAGGCAGAGAACCCCCCCCCCCCCCAAAGAUGGCAUUCCCCUUACUUUGCACAUCCUGUUUCCACGAGGUCCUGAAAUUCUAAUCAGGUUCUGGUUGUCAAGGAGAUGCCGUGGUUUCAAAGUAGGGCACAUCCAUGCCUGUGCUCAAGACCUAUUGAAAAUGGCUUUCAGCUCCCUUUCCAAAUAAAUAAAUGCAAGUAUUUUAGUCUAACCUCGACGACCCUGUGUGGUCUGAGCAAAUGACCCUUUCCAAAUUCAUCUUCUAACACACAGCCCUCCACUCAUGGCCUGGAGAUUUCACGCUGCAUUUUUGCUUCCUCUGUCCUCUCUGCCUGAAUGUGUUGUUCUUCAACCUCUGCAAAUCCAAAUCUUAGCAACUCCAGGAGUGCCCAAACCUUCACGGAGAACACCAAACACAAUGAAAUACCUCUUUACUUGGCAUAGAAGAAACAGAAUAGCAACUAAAGUUAGACUGGCCUGAGAACCGAUCUACCAGCCACUUGUUUGGCCUUAGACAAGUUACUUAAUUUUGUUCCACCUACUUUUUUUUUUUUUAACUCUUUAAACAGAGGGCCAUCCCCAUUUGUAGGGUGACUAUAAUAAAAUGAUGUUUUCAAAGUUCCCAACAUUUAGAAGAUUCUUGAUAAAUAAUGGCCAGUUUUAUGACUCCAUAAAACUAUCAAACCAUCCCUUUAUUUUUGUCUCUGUUGCCUGAUGUGCCACCGCUACCCUCUUCCACCCAUACUUCCCCUUUCUUAAGGACAGGGGGCUCUGUCCGCCUUCAUCCUGUUAUCUGCAUUUUCCAGAUGAGGAAUCAGAGAAACCACAGGAUUAGGUAACUUGUUCAAGGACAGAUGGCUGGCAAUGCUGGCGUUGAGAUUUGAAUUUAUUCCAGGAUGGGUUUUCGAAAUUCCUAUCUUAUACUGUCUUAUCUUGGCCUGGGGUAUCCUGGAAGCAGAGCCAGAGACCCUGGUUUAGGAGAUCUGGAGAAAGUGGAGGACGGGGAGGGAGAAGGAAAAGAGGGAAAGGCGAUAAAGUUGGACUAGUACUUGAUUCUGGGGUCUCUGAGUCUCCAGGCCAUGGCCUGGCAGACUGAAAGAAGGAAGCAUCCAUCCUGUCGU
rnacentral:lncRNA from 1 species